AGUGAACGCUGGCGGCAGGCCUAACACAUGCAAGUCGAACGGCAGCACAAGAGAGCUUGCUCUCUGGGUGGCGAGUGGCGGACGGGUGAGGCAUGCAUCGGAAUCUGCCCAUUUGUGGGGGAUAACCUCGGGAAACCGGGACUAAUACCGCAUACGACCUACGGGUGAAAGCAGGGGAUCUUCGGACCUUGCGCAGAUGGAUGAGCCGAUGCCGGAUUAGCUAGUUGGAGGGGUAAAGGCCCACCAAGGCGACGAUCCGUAGCUGGCCUGAGAGGAUGAUCAGCCACACUGGGACUGAGACACGGCCCAGACUCCUACGGGAGGCAGCAGUGGGGAAUAUUGGACAAUGGGCGCAAGCCUGAUCCAGCCAUGCCGCGUGUGUGAAGAAGGCCUUCGGGUUGUAAAGCACUUUUGUUGGGAAAGAAAAGCAGCCGGUUAAUACCCGGUUGUCAUGACGGUACCCAAAGAAUAAGCACCGGCUAACUUCGUG
rnacentral:rRNA from 1 species